rnacentral:rRNA from 1 species
GAUGAACGCUGGCGGCGUGCCUAAUACAUGCAAGUCGAGCGAACAGACGAGGAGCUUGCUCCUCUGACGUUAGCGGCGGACGGGUGAGUAACACGUGGAUAACCUACCUAUAAGACUGGGAUAACUUCGGGAAACCGGAGCUAAUACCGGAUAAUAUAUUGAACCGCAUGGUUCAAUAGUGAAAGACGGUUUUGCUGUCACUUAUAGAUGGAUCCGCGCCGCAUUAGCUAGUUGGUAAGGUAACGGCUUACCAAGGCAACGAUGCGUAGCCGACCUGAGAGGGUGAUCGGCCACACUGGAACUGGGACACGGUCCAGACUCCUACGGGAGGCCGCAGUAGGGAAUCUUCCGCAAUGGGCGAAAGCUUGACGGAGCAACGCCGCGUGAGUGAUGAAGGUCUUCGGAUCGGAAAACUCUGUUAUUAGGGAAGAACAAAUGUGUAAGUAACUAUGCACGUCUUGACGGUAACUAAUCAGAAAGCCACGGCUAACUACGUG